rnacentral:rRNA from 1 species
CAGCCGCCGCGGUAAUACCGGCGGCCCGAGUGGCGGUCACUAUUAUUGGGCUUAAAGCGUCCGUAGCCGGGUUGGGAAGUCCUCCGGGAAAUCUGGCCGCUUAACGGUCAGAAUGCCGGAGGAUACUCCCAGCCUAGGGAGCGGGAGAGGCCGAGGGUAUUCCCGGAGUAGGGGUGAAAUCCUAUAAUCCCGGGAGGACCACCUGUGGCGAACGCGCUCGGCUGGAACGCGUCCGACGGUGAGGGACGAAGGCCAGGGGAGCAAACCGGAUUAGAUACCCGGGUAGUCCUGGCUGUAAACGAUGCGGACUUUGUGUCGGACAAGCUAUGAGCUUGUCCGGUGCCGGAGGGAAACCGUUAAGUCCGCCGCCUGGGGAGUACGGCCGCAAGGCUGAAACUUAAAGGAAUUGGCGGG